rnacentral:sRNA from 1 species
GCUGGGCGCAGUGGCCCACAUCUGUAGUCCCAGCUCCUCAGGAGGCUGAGGCAGGAGGAUGGCUUGAGCCCGGGAGUUGGAGGCCAGCCCAGGCAAGGUAGUAAGACCGUGUCUCAG